GUUUGGACACUGCCUUUACUUCCAAGUGCUGCACUGUGUUAUUGGCAGAGGACAAAGACCAUGGCAGCGAUUGUAGCAGCAUACUAGCUGUGGGUAGCUUUUACUGAGUAUAGUAAAAUAGUUUGCCUCAUGUAGUUGCUCUGGGACCAUGAAGUUCACUGUGUCAUGGGCGGGGGGCAAUGCCCUCUGAGAGCAGAAACAUGGCACCCCACUGGCACACACUAGCUGAUUCUGGGGUGCUCAGCCCUGCAGGGACCUGAAGAUGCUUCCUGCAAUAUUUCGGAAGCCACAUGCUGAUCCGUGAGGGUGCGGGUGUGGGCACUGCGCCCCACCACUGAAGGUUCAUUCACCCACCACUGACCCCGCUCCCGACUUCUCUUUCCACAGAGCCUGGCCCAGCCCCUUCGCUGCCCCCCGAAUCCUGCCUGGUGCUCAGGGCCAUCAGCAAAGUCCUGGGAUCCUUUCUUGGUCUUCUUCUGGGCCUCCUGGGCCUCCUGACCCUGCUCCGAAUCACACGGAUGAAGCAGGGAGAGGGACGUCUGAACAGACCGGACUACUGUGUUGUGUUCAAUUUGAGAACGAGUGCAGCGUCCUCAAGGCUCGCAUAGAAUCCCGGCCCUCCUCCACCCGCGUGUCCCCCCGUCCUUGUUCCUGCUGGGAGGUCCUCGCUGUGGACAGAUGUGCUGCGUAGCCUGGAGGCUCCUGGUUAUGACAAAUACAAAUGCGUGUAGAAAUCCAUA
rnacentral:lncRNA from 9 species